GAAAGUAAGCAAGGGCGUACGGGGGAUGCCUAGGCUCUUGGAGGCGAAGAAGGACGUGUUAAGCUGCGAAAAGCUGCGGGGAUUUGCAAAAGAGAGUUGAUCCGCAGAUAUCCGAAUGGGGCAACCCGGCAGAUAGGAGAUCUGUCACAUCGAGAGAUGAGCGAACCCUAUGAACUGAAACAUCUAAGUAAUAGGAGGAGGAGAAAGAAACAUCGAUUUCCCGAGUAGUGGCGAGCGAAAAGGAAAUAGCCCAAACCGGUGUUGUUACGGCAACGUCGGGGUUGUAGGACUGCGAAAUCUUAAUACGAACGAACGGGAACAUGCUGGAAAGCGUGACCAUAGAGGGUGAAAGUCCCGUACCGGUAAGUUGCGUAAGCGGAAGCAGUAUCCUGAGUAUGGCGGGACACGAGGAAUCCUGUCAGAAACCGCGGGGACCACCCCGCAAGGCUAAAUACUCCCAAGAGACCGAUAGUGGACCAGUACCGUGAGGGAAAGGUGAAAAGUACCCCGAACAGGGGAGUGAAAAAGAACCUGAAACCGUACGCUUACAACCUGUCGGAGCGGCUUAGUGCCGUGACGGCGUGCCUUUUGCAUAAUGAGCCUACGAGUUACUAAUCACUAGCGAGGUUAAGGGCUAUAAGGUCCGGAGCCGAAGCGAAAGCGAGUCUGAAUAGGGCGCAAAGUUAGUGGUUGUAGACGCGAAACCUUGCGAUCUACCCAUGAGCAGGAUGAAAGUUGGGUAAAACCACCUGGAGGUCCGCACCGGUAAACGUUGAAAAGUUUUCGAUGACUUGUGGGUAGGGGUGAAAGGCUAAUCAAGCUGGGAAAUAGCUCGUACUCCCCGAAAUGCUUUUAGGAGCAGCGUUGCAAUAGUAUACUGGAGGUAGAGCUACUGAUUGGAUGCGGGGGCUUCACCGCCUACCAAAUCCUGACAAACUCCGAAUGCCAGUAUUAUGUUUUGCAGCAGUGAGCCGCUGGGUGCUAAUGUCCGGCGACAAAAGAGGAACAACUCAGACCAUCAUCUAAGGCCCCGAAGAAUACACUAAGUUGAACUAACGAUGUGCGACUGCAGCGACAGCUAGGAUGUUAGCUUGGAAGCAGCUAUUCAUUUAAAGAGUGCGUAACAGCUCACUAGUCGAGCGGUUGUGCGUGGAUAAUAAACGGGCAUCAAGUGUAUCGCCGAAGCUAUGGACUCUACGGAGUGGUAGGGGAGCAUUCCAUCGACGUUGAAGCCGUGUCGUAAGGCAUGGUGGAGUUUAUGGAAAAGCAAAUGUAGGCAUAAGUAACGAUAAGGCGGGAGAGAAACCCGCCCACCGCAAGACCAAGGUUUCCUGAUCAACGCUAAUCGGAUCAGGGUUAGUCGGGUCCUAAGGGUAAGCCGUCAGGUGAUCUCGAUGGACAAUCGGUUAAUAUUCCGAUACCGAUGCAUACUGCGACGGAGGGACGGAGAAGCGUAAGCUGCGCCAACAUACGGAAUUGUUGGUUAAAGAGCGUAGGUAUAGGACGACGUUAAUAGCGACGUUUUGCUGAAACUCGACAGUACCGAGCGGCUACGGCCAAUCGGAUAGUCAGCCCAAGCAAGCUUCCGAGAAAAACUUCUAAGCUUCAGGUAUGCAUCGCCCGUACCGUAAACCGACACAGGUGGUCGAGGAGAGUAUCCUCAGGUGCUUGAGUGAAUCACGGAUAAGGAACUAGGCAAAUUGACCCCGUAACUUAGGGAUAAGGGGUCCCCACGUGAGUGGGGCGCAGCGAAAAGGUCCAGGCAACUGUUUAACAAAAACAUAGGGCUAUGCUAAUUCGAGAGAAGACGUAUAUGGCCUGACACCUGCCCGGUGCUGGAAGGUUAAGAGGGGAUGUUAGCGCAAGCGAAGCAUUGAAUCGAAGCCCCAGUAAACGGCGGCCGUAACUAUAACGGUCCUAAGGUAGCGAAAUUCCUUGUCGGGUAAGUUCCGACCUGCACGAAUGGUGUAAUGAUCUGGACACUGUCUCGUCCGUGAGCUCAGUGAAAUUGUAGUCCCGGUGAAGAUGCCGGGUACCCGCAACGGGACGAAAAGACCCCGUGAACCUUUACUGCAGCUUAACGCUGAAUUUGGGUGCAUGAUGUGUAGGAUAGGCAGGAGACUGCGAAGCGGUACGCCAGGUAUCGUGGAGUCGCCGUUGAAAUACUGCCCUUUGUGUAUUUGAAUUCUAACCCUGUUCAGGGGACACCGUUUGGUGGGUAGUUUGACUGGGGUGGUCGCCU
rnacentral:rRNA from 1 species